GCACAACACAACAACACACACACUGAAUGAUUAUUCAUCUAAUCAAUCAACAAGCUUUUGAUGAGAAGUACCAACUUGUAAGUCGCUUCGGCGUCUGCUAAAUGACGAAAUAUAAUGACACUAUACAUCUGUCAUACUGAAACCAUCAAGGUCAGUGUGGUAACUUAAGAGUUAUUUAACUAUGUGUCUCCAACUGAAGUUAUACUAAUGUGAAUAAUACCAUUGAGUUCAUGCAUACAAAAACACAUUCUCAAGAUAUUCAUCGAAAUGCUUUUUUUCUGUUUACAGAUGAAAGUGAAAGCAGUGGUCCUCAGCUUUCAUUCGGUAUCAAUCUGUUACAUUUGUGUAUGUCGGCCGGGGGUCUUCAGAAUCCAGGAGACCCUCCAGACGCACACACGCUCCAGACUGCAUCACUCAACACAAAUACCUUCAAAGCACAUCACAAUCCAUCAUACACGUAUGAUCCUGAAGGAACUCAAAGUCUGUUUAUCAGUAGAGCAUACUUCUCAUGAAUUAUUAAUCAAAGCAUCUCUCAUUCAAAGAUCUCAGUAAUGGUCCAAAAUGCAGAAAAACACAGCACGUCCAAAGAAGAUUUUUCAACAAAAACAAAACAUGUGUUAUUUUCCCCUAAGAAACACACAAAAAAGAAUCAAAUUGUCUAAAGUGUAAUUUUGACACAGUGAAGGUGAACAAUGAAUGAGAUAAACCAAACAAGAAAGAAUCCUAAUCUUCUCUAGGAAUAUUCAGGAAAUCAGAUACAUUUGUAAUAAUAUAAUAUAAUUUUAUUGGCACAAACCCUACUACAGUAAAUCUGAAAAUGAAGAGUUUGUUUGCAAUGAAAAUGUAAAUUGCUUUUUUAUUUAUUUUUGUUUUGAUUUGUUAUUGCCCAAACUGCAUUUGGGUUGUUUUGGUAAAGUCAUAAUAACAAAAAAAAAAAUGUUUAACAUACGAAGAAACUUUCUGUGUCACAAAAUGUUAUUUAGAUUAUAAAGAAGGAAAAAAAGAAUGGUUCUAUAGGAAUCUUUCAGUAAAUUCUUCUUUGGGAAACUACUGUGUGAAGAACCUUUUGUAACAUUGUAACAUUUCUGUAAACUCGCUCAGUUGUUAUCAAUCUUUUUUUUUUUUUAAUCUAAAGUCAUUAAGUGCCUCAAGUGUGUGUUGAUUUAAGAAUGUUUAGAUGUUUAUACUGAAAGACAAGAAUAAAGAAUAAGGGAGUUGUG